UAAUAGGUGAUAAUGCAAUUUCAUUUCUCCACAUCUCUUUCAGAACAAAGUUCACAGAAACCUAAACAAAUUACAAGGUUGGGGUGAUUUGAGCAGUCUACCUCAUGAUAGUCUUCUCUUCAAAUUAUUAGACCACUUAGGCUUAUCUUUGGUAUUUUGUUCCUUAUUGAUUUUAGGAGUCCUAUAUUUGCUAAACUUGAAAUGCAUGGUAAAAAAAUGUAUCUAUUGUCCAUUUUUUUUAGGUUGAUACCCAAAGAUCAGUAUUACUGUGGUGUUCUCUAUUUCACUGGGAGUGAUAUUUUCAAUAAGAAUAUGAGGGCUCAUGCCCUAGAAAAGGGUUUCACAAUCAAUGAGUAUACCAUCCGUCCUUUGGGAGUCACUGGAGUUGCAGGAGAACCCCUGCCAGUGGAUAGUGAAAAAGACAUCUUUGAUUACAUCCAGUGGAAAUACCGGGAACCCAAGGACCGGAGCGAAUGAGGCCUGUAUCCUCCCUGGCAGACACAACCCAAUAGGAGUCUUAAUUUAUUUCUUAACCUUUGCUAUGUAAGGGUCUUUGGUGUUUUUAAAUGAUUGUUUCUUCAUGCUUUUGCUUGCAAUGUAGUCAAUAAAACCUCAUGUACUAUUA
rnacentral:sRNA from 1 species